rnacentral:rRNA from 1 species
GAUGAACGCUGACAGAAUGCUUAACACAUGCAAGUCAACUUGAAUUUGGGUUUUUAACUUAGAUUUGGGUGGCGGACGGGUGAGUAACGCGUAAAGAACUUGCCUCACAGCUAGGGACAACAUUUAGAAAUGAAUGCUAAUACCUGAUAUUAUGAUUUUAAGGCAUCUUAGAAUUAUGAAAGCUAUAAGCACUGUGAGAGAGCUUUGCGUCCCAUUAGCUAGUUGGAGAGGUAACAGCUCACCAAGGCGAUGAUGGGUAGCCGGCCUGAGAGGGUGAACGGCCACAAGGGGACUGAGACACGGCCCUUACUCCUACGGGAGGCAGCAGUGGGGAAUAUUGGACAAUGGACCGAGAGUCUGAUCCAGCAAUUCUGUGUGCACGAUGAAGUUUUUCGGAAUGUAAAGUGCUUUCAGUUGGGAAGAAAUAAAUGACGGUACCAACAGAAGAAGUGACGGCUAAAUACGUGCCAGCAGCCGCGGUAAUACGUAUGUCACGAGCGUUAUCCGGAUUUAUUGGGCGUAAAGCGCGUCUAGGUGGUUAUGUAAGUCUGAUGUGAAAAUGCAGGGCUCAACUCUGUAUUGCGUUGGAAACUGUAUAACUAGAGUACUGGAGAGGUAAGCGGAACUACAAGUGUAGAGGUGAAAUUCGUAGAUAUUUGUAGGAAUGCCGAUGGGGAAGCCAGCUUACUGGACAGAUACUGACGCUAAAGCGCGAAAGCGUGGGUAACAAACAGGAUUAGAUACCCUUGUAGUCCAAGGGCGAAUUCCACAGUGGAUAUCAAGCUUAUCGAUACCGUCGACCUCGAGGGGGGGGCCCGGUACCCGCUUUUGUUCCCUUUGUGAGGGUU